UUGAUCCAUUUUAGAAUAAGGCUGUAACGUAACAAAAUGUGGAUAAAGGGGUCUGAAUACUUUCAGAAUGCACUGCAUCUACAGUGCUCCAAAUGUGGCCUUGCCAACGCCAUGUACAGCUGGAACGUGACUGUACUCAACUUCUGUACUCAAUAUAGACACGAGGAACUGCAGAUGCAGGUUCAGAAUCAAAGACACAAAAGUCCUGUAGUAACUCAGUGGGUCGGGCAACAUCUCUGGAGAAUGAAUAGGCGACGAUUUAAGUUGAAGUCUGAAGAACGAUCCUGACCAUGUUCCGCAGAGAUGUUGCGUGACCCGCUGAGUUACUCCAGCACUUAGUGUAUUUUAUUCCUGUACUUAAUACCCUGACCUAUGAAGGAAAGCGUGCCAAACGCCUUCUUUACCACCCAAGAUGUUAAACCCAAAAGACUGCAAGAGGGGCUGGGGGGCUGUGACUGUCUCCAAGUGCGAGGUUAUCCUCAGAGAGGGUUGUUGGACCUGACCACCAGAGGAUAAAAGAUUGUUCUCGUGGAGUCAAUCCUUUCAGGAGGGCUCUUCCUGGGUGGGAAGGGAGACGUGUGUGUGUUUAUAUUUUUAAAGGAAGGUAUGGGUGGGAAGAAAUGAUGGGAGGGGUGUGAAUAUAUUUUUUGGAAACAGAUUUUUCAGACAUUGAAAGCUAGGAAGAGUGGUUUUGCUAUGUAACUGACUUUGUAUAUUUUACAGUUAUUUUAAAAAACAAACAUUUUGACUGUGAAA